rnacentral:lncRNA from 1 species
AUGCAAUGUGGAAGAAAUGAAGUAGAUGAUUUCUAUAAUGGAAUCAAUCAUCUCUACAAUGAAGACAACACUUCAGAAAAUGUGGAUUCUGUGUGCAACACUAAUUUAUCAAGGGAAAGGGCUGCCAGCUGCCUCACCCAUACAGCCCAGGCUCCCUCAAGUCUAACCAACUCUGCUGACCAUCUCUGUGAGGCCACAUUAGGGCCAACCCAAAGCAAAGCAAAGGAGCUUUUGCCAGGUCGAAGCAACAGUAGACGGACAGACAGACAGAACAGCUGACGUGGCAGCGGCACUUUGAGGACAUCUCACUGGAUGCUCCUGGCAUCCCAGAUAAGGAGACUGAAGCUCAGAGAGCUGCUAACUGGCCCAGGGUCAUUCAGCUAAUGAGAGUCAGAGGCAGGAUUCCAAGCCAGGCCCGCAGCCUUGACUCUGGUGAGGAUGGAGCCACAGAAAGAACAGCAUGAUGAGAGCAGCUGAAAUCUAGUCAGACUGGCCCUCUCUCUACUCCUCACCCUCAACCUCUGCCACCUCCAUGUCUUUGCACUGGCUGGGUCCCAGGCCUGAUAUGCUAUCCCUCCUCAUCUCCACCUCCCAAAGUCCCUUCUCUUCCUUUAAGUCACAGCUCAGGCCCCAUUUUCUACAGGAAGGAAGGCUUCCCUGUCCUCCACCUGCUAGCUGGUGCCCUCCCAGCCAGACAUUUCCUAAAAGCCUGGCUUUGUUGGCAGACUGACAAAUGACUGAAUCAGUGAAUUCUGGUGCCCCACCAGCACCCAGCAGUGCAUGUCUACCUGGAGAAUAAGGCCGCUUUGCUCCUUCAGCUGCCAAGUCAGCACCUCUUUCUCCCUCUGAUAAAGGGCCUGAGCCUUCUCUCUCUCCUCCAUUUGCCAUCCAGCAGCUCGAUUCUGUCUCCAGCUCAUCCUGCACAAAAAGACACAAAAGGUCAAAAGCCAGGCUUAGCCUUCCUGCUACUCUCAAAGGGGCCCCAUGGAAAGCAGGGGCUGAGACACAGGGAGAGUGCCACUCUGCGGGGAGACAAGGCACACAUGCCUUUGGGACAGAAUCUUUGGGUCAGACAUAGGUUGGUCUAAUUAUGAAAUGACUAGCCGGGUGAAAGGGCCUGCCAGAGAAUCUGGCCCUAGAUUGAAAGGGAGGGACAGCUCCUCCAAGUGGAGCUGCCACCCACCAAGGGCAGAUGCAAGCUCGUUUUUUCCUCUUUUUCUUGUGUUUCUUUGGUUCAGAACAUGGCAAAUGUAGAAAUGUGUUUUGUGUGAUUUCAGAUUUGUAAUGGGUUUUGUUUAAAAAAUAAACCACAGUGUUUUCUUUUGAUGAUAAAUCUA